rnacentral:rRNA from 1 species
UACGAAGGACCCGAGCGUUAUCCGGAUUUAUUGGGUUUAAAAGGUGCGUAGGCGGAUUUACAAGUCAGUGGUGAAAUCUCCCAGCUUAACUGGGAAACUGCCAUUGAAACUGUUUAUCUUGAGUACAUUUGAGGCGGGCGGAAUGUGUCAUGUAGAGGUGAAAUUCUUAGAUAUGACACAGAACACCAAUUGCGAAGGCAGCUCGCUAAACUGUAACUGACGCUGAGGCACGAAAGCGUGGGGAUCAAACAGG